CGAAUCAAGCACGAGAAGAAAAGCGUAUUCGGAUGCGAGGGGAAUGUCGAGAGUCCCAGAUGAAGAUUAAGCGUCGAGCAAGAACCGAACACACGUUAAAUGAAGCUUCCGCAAGUUGUUUCGUCGUUAUUCUAAAACGAUGAAUUAAAUUACACUAUGUUGUUUUGCUUCAAGUUUAGAAAAGUUUUAAUAAACCCGUAUUUUAGCAUGAAUGUUUAAAUAUAAAUACUCAGUAAAUUGUGAUUAUUUACGGAAAUCGCUAAA